CGUGCCCUACGGGACGCAGCAGUGAGGGAUAUUGGUCAAUGGGGGAAACCCUGAACCAGCAACGCCGCGUGAGGGAAGACGGUUUUCGGAUUGUAAACCUCUGUCCUCUGUGAAGAUAAUGACGGUAGCAGAGGAGGAAGCUCCGGCUAACUACGUGCCAGCAGCCGCGGUAAUACGUAGGGAGCGAGCGUUGUCCGGAUUUACUGGGUGUAAAGGGUGCGUAGGCGGGGAAGCAAGUCAGAAGUGGAAUCCAUGGGCUUAACCCAUGAACUGCUUUUGAAACUGUUUAUCUUGAG
rnacentral:rRNA from 1 species